CCUCCGCACUGCGUUGACUUUUUAUCUAUGUUUGACCCUUCGUUUUAUUCAAAAAAUUUAUAUAAUUAUUGACUAUUUUGUUAUGAUUUAAUUUAUUAUUAAAGUAACUUUAAGUAUAAUUUAUAAUUUUGUAUAUUUGGAUAAAAUUUUUAAAUAAGACGAAGGGUCAAACGUAAAUCAAAAAGUCAACGACGUAAAAAAA
rnacentral:pre_miRNA from 1 species